AGAGUUUGAUCCUGGCUCAGAGUGAACGCUGGCGGCGUGCUUAACACAUGCAAGUCGAACGGUAACAGAAAGAGCUUGCUCUUUGCUGACGAGUGGCGCACGGGUGAGUAAUAUAUAGUUAAUGUGCCUUGAAGACCGGGAUAGCCAUUGGAAACGAUGAUUAAUACUGGAUAUACCUUUAUAACUCAAGUUAUAAAGGGAAACGUUUUUUCGCUUCAAGAUCAGACUAUAUCCCAUCAGCUUGUUGGUGAGGUAAGAGCUCACCAAGGCAAUGACGGGUAGCGGGUUUGAGAGGAUGAUCCGCCACACUGGUACUGAGACACGGACCAGACUCCUACGGGAGGCAGCAGUGAGGAAUAUUGCACAAUGGGGGAAACCCUGAUGCAGCAACGCCGCGUGGAGGAUGACGCAUUUCGGUGUGUAAGCUCCUUUUAUAUGUCAAGAAAAUGACGGUAGCAUAUGAAUAAGCACCGCUAACU
rnacentral:rRNA from 1 species